AACGACUCUCGGCAACGGAUAUCUCGGCUCACGCAUCGAUGAAGAACGUAGCAAAAUGCGAUACUUGGUGUGAAUUGCAGAAUCCCGUGAACCAUCGAGUUUUUGAACGCAAGUUGCGCCCAAAACCAUCCGGUUGAGGGCACGCCUGCCUGGGCGUCACGC
rnacentral:rRNA from 1 species